GGUGAGCGUAGGUACACAGACCAGGAAGUAUCUCUGCUCCUAACCUCUCUUUAUGCAUGCAUGAAGGCUCAUUGUUCAAGUCCAGGGGAAACUGGUGAGAGAUGGAGUUUCACCAUGUUGCCUGAGAAUCAUGUGAUCCUCCCAGCAGUUUGAAUGGACACAAAACUAUGUUUGAAAUACAAUAGGUGAAGAACAAACCCAGAAUCCCUACACUGAACUGCUAGUACUGAAGGCUCAUCAUGAUAUUGUACGAUUUCUGGUACAGUUAGAUGACUACAGAUUUGCAUCUGCUGGUGAUGAUGGAAUUGUAGUUGUGUGGAAUGCCCAGACAGGGGAAAAACUUUUAGAACUGAAUGGACACACUCAAAAGAUAACAGCUAUUAUUACAUUUUCUUCCUUGGGAUCUUGUGAAGAAAAAAAUCAACUCAUCUUGACAGCCUCUGCUGAUAGAACAGUUAUUGU
rnacentral:sRNA from 1 species